rnacentral:lncRNA from 1 species
UAUUGAUGAUUAUGAAAUGAGUCGCAUUUCUUAGAAUUGAGGCUCUGAGGAAGCCACUGACUGCCUAGGAAUUAAGACAGGGCGUGAGAAGUCCAGUUGAUCAAGGCGGAAACUUUAUUUUCUGAGAGCCUUUCCACAGCUGCCUUUUGCAGGCUCUUUGGACGCUCCCCGUUGUGCCAUGUUUUGUGGCUUUCUCUGUAGGAAGAAUUUGUCUUGAUGAAGAUUCCUAACAUUGGUAAUGUGAUGAAUAAAUUUGAGAUCCUUGGGGUUGUAGGUGAAGGUAAGUAGUAUAUUUUAUAUAAUCCAUUUAUUUAUUUAUUAGAUUUCACUUAGUCUUCUUGAUGAAAAAGUUUUCAUUUACAAAAUGCUGCUUGUAUCAUAUCUUGUG